rnacentral:rRNA from 1 species
UGCCAGCAGCCGCGGUAAUACGGAGGGGGCUAGCGUUGUUCGGAAUUACUGGGCGUAAAGCGCAUGCAGGUGGAUGAUUAAGUCAGAUGUGAAAGCCCGGGGCUCAACCUCGGAAUAGCAUUUGAAACUGGUCAUCUAGAGUACUGUAGAGGGGGGUAGAAUUUCAGGUGUAGCGGUGAAAUGCGUAGAGAUCUGAAGGAAUACCAGUGGCGAAGGCGGCCCCCUGGACAGAUACUGACACUCAGAUGCGAAAGCUAGGGUAGCAAAUGGGAUUAGAUA